AAAGAUAAGAACCACAUACAUGCCUAAUUAAGGGAGCUACCAACCUAGAUACUAAUGUUGGAUUUCAGCCCUAAAAGCAUCUUUGGAACUUUUCAAAGAGGUUAUACUUGAUAUUAUACCAAGUAUUUCAAUGUAAAGAAUUACAGCUUUACUGGGAUUUCUAUGGUGUUGACAACUUAUAUUUUAUUCAACUACUGCCUUCCUUGCAAAGAACUUAAACAUUUAGGAUUGCAAAAG
rnacentral:lncRNA from 1 species